rnacentral:lncRNA from 1 species
UGCCUCGCCAAACAUCAUUUACCAAGCGAUCAGGGAGCCCUUAGCUUUUUCCUCCGCAGCAUCUUUGCAGGUAGCUCCAGUGUCGCUCGCGGACCAGGCAGCCGCACUUUUCCUCCCGCUCCGAGUCACAGACGGGACAACGUGCAGCUGCCGCCACCGGCCAGGCCGCUGUCCCUGCUGCCGCCGCAGCCGCUGCUUCAAAACCGUGGCUGCUACUGCAAAGAAAGGGUUACUCCUCUCUUGGAGUCAAGUGGCUGCAAACUUCCCCUGCUUUACAUGUACCUUUUCCUGCAAACUUGUACAUCCUUCCGUGCAGAAGGGCCAAGAAAACCAUUACAAGCAUCAAGGGAAUAUCCUAAGAAAGGACACCCCCCGGAAGCUUUGUGUGGAGAUCUGUGCUCUGAUGAAGAUGGAAUAACAGAGAGUGGGUUUACCCUAUCACCUGAAACAACCAAAAUAUUUGAACUCAUGGUGUUGAAGACAUGGGAGUCAGGUAACGAGAGACACUGACUGAUUCCUGGGAAACAUGAAGCAGAAGAGGUGAUCCUUAUGCCAUCCAGUUUACUGCUUCGGGAAACUUUCCAGGCCAUGUGACAGGAAGGGAGAACCCAGGCAGACCCAGGUGGAUUCUCCGAGUUGAGAAGGUGGAGCAGAGAAUCCAGAGAGACAGCUACAGUUGACAGGACCGAGUACAAGAGAGAAGAGAGCUGCCUGCAGAGAAAACUGGAGAUCUGCAGAAGUUCCCCCUCAGGCUGCAUACUGAUCAGCACAGGCACAUAGGAAACUACCUGAGGCAGGAUAAAGAACCAGCUGAAAAACUCCGAGGGAACAGUACCAAAUGCUCGAACAGGGCUAGGUACAGUGCUUGUUCACAUCAGCCUGACUAGAUAACCUCCUAAUUCAUAGUGCAUUAGGUAGAAUUCUCAGACAGGUCUUACUUCAGAAGUGGGCAAAAAUUGACCCUAGAAAAAAUACCAAUUUGAACCCAUGUAAUAAACCUUAAAAACAGGACCUAAAAGGAUUAAAC